GGAGAGGAGUGUAUCUUGCUGAAGAUCUUUGCUUGUCUGAGGUCUUCUGAAUUCACAUGGACUGAAGUCUUGAAGAUUAAAAGCAACACCAGGUUUACUAGACAGGAGGGAAAGAAGGAUUAGACUUCCCCAUGAUCCCCAGUUUCCAGCUGAAAUCCAAGCACAUGGCUACAGCUUUUUCCUGGCUCCUGUACUAGCAACAUGUCCUUGAUGGGCAGGCAGACUGAGCUUGAGGAGGAGAUCCAGUUAUGAGUGAAAUCUCCAGUUGCUGCUCUACUGAUUUAAAAAACAACUGUAACAAAAACAUCAAACCAAAACACAUUCUUCUGUCAGUGCUGUCAAAAAUGUGGAGAAGACUAUCAAGAAUUCUGGCUGUUCCUUGAAUAAAAUGGAUUAAAAGAACACAUUUCUUUCUUCUUUUCUUCUUCCUUUCAGUGUACUUGUCCAAAUUCAAAUGUAGUUCUUGGCCUUUUUCUACUACUCAUUAUAUUGCCUAGUUUUAAAAUGAUCUCAGCGCAACUAAAGUAGACUACAAAUCACAGAUGAAUAUCCCGGAUGUGAGUGAGAAGUGGUACCCAGCUUCAAUGAAUAGUCUAUUUUGCCCUACCACUACAUGCCACAUAACAUGUUUCAUAUUUCUGUUACGAAUAGUGACCCUGUUAACUUUUGUAACUGCAUUUAGUAACUAAGCAGUGUAAGACUGUAUAGCAGACCUUUUAAAAGGGACUUGAAAUACCUUGUUUUUGUGCAUUACAGUUCAAUUCACAAAUUCACUCAGUUAAAAAAAAAAUAAAAAACUCUAGGUCAUCAAAGAAAGCCUAUAUUCAAGAAGCUGUGUUAUAUUUUGUUCUUAUUUAUCCCUUAAGUUUCUAGGUUAGUCCUGUUUGUUGAGUCUGAGCUGAUUAAGAAAGUACACAGACAAAAGUAAGCAUGCUAGGCCUCAACGCCUAGUUAAUUGAUGAAGCUACUUAAAAUUACUAAACUGUUUAUACUUGCCUGUAUUGGAGGUAUUAUUUUCACAUUUUACACAUGACUAACCAAUAAUCAAAUGCAAUAUUGCACUAUUCAUCUUUCUCUUCGGUCCCUGUUAUUUAAACAAAAUAUUUAUUUCACAAAGUUUGUUCUCAAAUAUAUUACUGUUUUUUCAAGUUUAUACUGUAUAAACAAAUAAUUCCUAGUGAUAAUAAUGUGAGUAAUGUAAUCUAACAACAACAACAAAAAAACAUAAUAAGAUCCUGGAAUUUUGCUGCAACAUAAAAUACACAAAGUAGCAAAUAUCUUUCUACAGAUCUUCAUUAUGAAAAGUAGAAACUAAUCUGUAACAUGAUGGUUUCAUUAGGCUUAGCUGAACAGAGUAGGAAGCCUACUUCUGCUAUUUUUCAGGUUUUGGGGACAGACGUUCCAUGACUGAGCAGCUGACCGUGCUGAAUGCUAGAACUCCUGAAACAGUAACUAUUUUUGUUCAAACCCUUGGAGAUUAGAUCACACCUUAUGAAAUUCAUAACAGUUGUGAUCCCAUUCUUCGUGCAUGUUGACGAUGUACUGAGAAAAAAAAAAUACAGUGAUUGAAAAGAUCACACAAAACAAUUUCAAAAUGCUUUAGGCACAAACUACAUGAGUGACAACUACAAAUUUAAGUGCUGUAACUCUUUGAUUAAUAUAAAGAAAGUGACUUAGAUUAUUUUGAUAACAGCCUUAAGGGAAAAAAAUGACACUUAAAGGAAUAUAAAGAUUUGAGGGCUGAAUUACUUGCCUAAGAUGUGUUUUUAUAAAUAACCCGUGUCACCUAUUAUUUUGGAGGGAGAAGAAAAACGGUGAAUUAUUGGCUUUUUUUUUUAUACAAAGUAAACUACCUACAGUAUACUCCACAAGUGACACAUGCAUUUUAUCUUACCCAUUUCCAAAACCCCCAAAACUUGAAAUAUAUAACCUAUUACAGAGCCAGAGUGUGAACAUGGUAAGAAAGCAAAUACAGAAUUUACUUCUAGUACACUAAAAAGAGCAAAGUGAUGUUUCCCUUUAAAACAUCUUCCAUACAGAGGCUUCUCUUUAUUAAGAGCAGUUUUAAAGAC